CCAACCUGGUUGAUCCUGCCAGUAGUCAUAUGCUUGUCUCAAAGAUUAAGCCAUGCAUGUCUCAGUAUGAGUGUUCACAUCACGAAACUGCGAAUGGCUCAUUAAAACAGUUAUAGUUCACUUGAUAGUCAAUCGUUAUACGGAUAACUGCGGUAAUUCUGGAGCUAAUACGUGCACAAAGACCUGACUUCAAG
rnacentral:rRNA from 1 species